rnacentral:rRNA from 1 species
GGUUAAGCGACUAAGCGUACACGGUGGAUGCCCUGGCAGUCAGAGGCGAUGAAGGACGUGCUAAUCUGCGAAAAGCGUCGGUAAGGUGAUAUGAACCGUUAUAACCGGCGAUGUCCGAAUGGGGAAACCCAGUGCAAUUCGUUGCACUAUCGUUAACUGAAUACAUAGGUUAACGAGGCGAACCGGGGGAACUGAAACAUCUAAGUACCCCGAGGAAAAGAAAUCAACCGAGAUUCCCCCAGUAGCGGCGAGCGAACGGGGAGCAGCCCAGAGUCUGAAUCAGCUUGUGUGUUAGUGGAACGGUCUGGAAAGUCCGACGGUACAGGGUGAUAGUCCCGUACACCAAAAUGCACAGGCUGUGAACUCGAAGAGUAGGGCGGGACACGUGGUAUCCUGUCUGAAUAUGGGGGGACCAUCCUCCAAGGCUAAAUACUCCUGACUGACCGAUAGUGAACCAGUACCGUGAGGGAAAGGCGAAAAGAACCCCGGCGAGGGGAGUGAAAAAGAACCUGAAACCGUGUACGUACAAGCAGUGGGAGCACCUUCGGGUGUGACUGCGUACCUUUUGUAUAAUGGGUCAGCGACUUAUAUUCUGUAGCAAGGUUAACCGUAUAGGGGAGCCGCAGGGAAACCGAGUCUUAACUGGGCGUUAAGUUGCAGGGUAUAGACCCGAAACCCGGUGAUCUAGCCAUGGGCAGGUUGAAGGUUGGGUAACACUAACUGGAGGACCGAACCGACUAAUGUUGAAAAAUUAGCGGAUGACUUGUGGCUGGGGGUGAAAGGCCAAUCAAACCGGGAGAUAGCUGGUUCUCCCCGAAAGCUAUUUAGGUAGCGCCUCGUGAAUUCAUCUUCGGGGGUAGAGCACUGUUUCGGCUAGGGGGUCAUCCCGACUUACCAACCCGAUGCAAACUACGAAUACCGAAGAAUGUUAUCACGGGAGACACACGGCGGGUGCUAACGUCCGUCGUGAAGAGGGAAACAACCCAGACCGCCAGCUAAGGUCCCAAAGUCAUGGUUAAGUGGGAAACGAUGUGGGAAGGCACAGACAGCCAGGAUGUUGGCUUAGAAGCAGCCAUCAUUUAAAGAAAGCGUAAUAGCUCACUGGUCGAGUCGGCCUGCGCGGAAGAUGUAACGGGGCUAAACCAUGCACCGAAGCUGCGGCAGCGACACUAUGUGUUGUUGGGUAGGGGAGCGUUCUGUAAGCCUGCGAAGGUGUGCUGUGAGGCAUGCUGGAGGUAUCAGAAGUGCGAAUGCUGACAUAAGUAACGAUAAAGCGGGUGAAAAGCCCGCUCGCCGGAAGACCAAGGGUUCCUGUCCAACGUUAAUCGGGGCAGGGUGAGUCGACCCCUAAGGCGAGGCCGAAAGGCGUAGUCGAUGGGAAACAGGUUAAUAUUCCUGUACUUGGUGUUACUGCGAAGGGGGGACGGAGAAGGCUAUGUUAGCCGGGCGACGGUUGUCCCGGUUUAAGCAUGUAGGCUGGUUAUCCAGGCAAAUCCGGAUAAUCAAGGCUGAGGUGUGAUGACGAGGCACUACGGUGCUGAAGUAACAAAUGCCCUGCUUCCAGGAAAAGCCUCUAAGCAUCAGGUAACAUCAAAUCGUACCCCAAACCGACACAGGUGGUCAGGUAGAGAAUACCAAGGCGCUUGAGAGAACUCGGGUGAAGGAACUAGGCAAAAUGGUGCCGUAACUUCGGGAGAAGGCACGCUGGUGUGUAGGUGAAGUCCCUGCGGAUGGAGCUGAGACCAGUCGAAGAUACCAGCUGGCUGCAACUGUUUAUUAAAAACACAGCACUGUGCAAACACGAAAGUGGACGUAUACGGUGUGACGCCUGCCCGGUGCCGGAAGGUUAAUUGAUGGGGUUAUCCGUAAGGAGAAGCUCUUGAUCGAAGCCCCGGUAAACGGCGGCCGUAACUAUAACGGUCCUAAGGUAGCGAAAUUCCUUGUCGGGUAAGUUCCGACCUGCACGAAUGGCGUAAUGAUGGCCAGGCUGUCUCCACCCGAGACUCAGUGAAAUUGAACUCGCUGUGAAGAUGCAGUGUACCCGCGGCAAGACGGAAAGACCCCGUGAACCUUUACUAUAGCUUGACACUGAACAUUGAGCCUUGAUGUGUAGGAUAGGUGGGAGGCUUUGAAGCGUGGACGCCAGUCUGCGUGGAGCCAACCUUGAAAUACCACCCUUUAAUGUUUGAUGUUCUAACGUUGGCCCCUUACCGGGGUUGCGGACAGUGUCUGGUGGGUAGUUUGACUGGGGCGGUCUCCUCCCAAAGCGUAACGGAGGAGCACGAAGGUUAGCUAAUCCUGGUCGGACAUCAGGAGGUUAGUGCAAUGGCAUAAGCUAGCUUGACUGCGAGCGUGACGGCGCGAGCAGGUGCGAAAGCAGGUCAUAGUGAUCCGGUGGUUCUGAAUGGAAGGGCCAUCGCUCAACGGAUAAAAGGUACUCCGGGGAUAACAGGCUGAUACCGCCCAAGAGUUCAUAUCGACGGCGGUGUUUGGCACCUCGAUGUCGGCUCAUCACAUCCUGGGGCUGAAGUAGGUCCCAAGGGUAUGGCUGUUCGCCAUUUAAAGUGGUACGCGAGCUGGGUUUAGAACGUCGUGAGACAGUUCGGUCCCUAUCUGCCGUGGGCGCUGGAGAAUUGAGGGGGGCUGCUCCUAGUACGAGAGGACCGGAGUGGACGCAUCACUGGUGUUCGGGUUGUCAUGCCAAUGGCACUGCCCGGUAGCUAAAUGCGGAAGAGAUAAGUGCUGAAAGCAUCUAAGCACGAAACUUGCCCCGAGAUGAGUUCUCCCUGAGACUAUAAGUCUCCUGAAGGAACGUUAAAGACGAUGACGUUGAUAGGCCGGGUGUGUAAGCGCAGCGAUGCGUUGAGCUAACCGGUACUAAUGAACCGUGAGGCUUAACCUU